UAGCAGGUGAUGAUCCUGAAAUGGUC
rnacentral:misc_RNA from 1 species